rnacentral:lncRNA from 1 species
GGAUGUAACAUAAUUUAUAUAUCCAUUAAACAGGAUGUCACAGAAGAAAUUUUCAUUGCUUGGGAAAAGAUUCAUGAAUUAUCAUUAAAUGAAUAAAUAAAGUUUCCAAAAAUAUUUUCCAUGAGAUUUCAUUUUAUAAAACUAUAUAGAUCUCACACAUACACACAUCUUGGUUUUACAGAUAUUCUGUCCAAGUUGCUAACCCAUAAAUUUGUAUAACAUACUUUGAUAAUGGUAUCUAAAUGAAGUACAGCAGUUUACAUCUUAUUUAUUAAAAUUUAUGUAUUUUAGCACAGUUUAACACCUUAUAGCAACUCAGGGAAAAAUGCAUUUUAGUAUCAUUUCCCUAGUAGUUUUUAAAUCAUGAGACAUAAUGAUUUAAAAAAAAAAUCAGUGGGGGUGGGGGCAAAAAUCCAAAGUCAUUAGGAAGGUGUGAUUAGCCACAAAUAUAGAUCCUCAUUACAAAGUGUUAUAUCCUUGGGCUGCCGAGUCAUUCAGUACCUGCAUGCACGAUGCUCGU